rnacentral:rRNA from 1 species
GGCACCGGAGAUGGGUACUGAGACACGGACCCAGGCCCUAUGGGGCGCAGCAGGCGAGAAACCUUUGCAAUGUGCGAAAGCACGACAAGGUUAAUCCGAGUGUCUCCUGCUAAAGGAGUCUUUUGUCAGUUGUAGAAUCACUGGUGAAUAAGGGGUGGGCAAGUUCUGGUGUCAGCCGCCGCGGUAAAACCAGCACCUCGAGUGGUCAGGAGGUUUAUUGGGCCUAAAGCAUCCGUAGCCGGUUGCAUAAGUUUUCGGUUGAAUCUAUGCGCUUAACGUAUAGGCCGCCGAAAAUACUGUGCAGCUAGGGAGUGGGAGAGGUACACGGUACUCGAUAGGAAGGGGUAAAAUCCUUUGAUCUAUUGAAGACCACCUGUGGCGAAGGCGGUGUACCAGAACACGUUCGACGGUGAGGGAUGAAAGCUGGGGGAGCAAACCGGAUUAGAUACCCGGGUAGUCCCAGCUGUAAACGAUGCAGACUCGGUGAUGCAUUGGCUUGUGGCCAAUGCAGUGCCGCAGGGAAGCCGUUAAGUCUGCCGCCUGGGAAGUACGUACGCAAGUAUGAAACUUAAGGAAUUGGCGGGGGAGCACCACAAGGGGUGAAGCCUGCGGUUCAAUUGGAGUCACG